rfam:Clostridium intestinale TRNW genomic scaffold scaffold1, whole genome shotgun sequence.
UAAGUAAAGAAGAAACAGCCGUUUCUCACCUUACAGCAUUGCUAGUUAGGUUACUUAUCCCGUAAAUAUUUUUGUUUGGAUAAAAAGGACGGCUAUCAAGUCGUCCUUUUAUUGUGUU